UAAUAUGGUUUCCAACAGCCUUAGCCAAUUAAAACCAUCACAAUAUCUAUCAAAAAUACACUUUUCCAGUGAUAUCAGUAAAGAACAAUACCCCGGUGAACACCACACACCAAUGCACUGAAAUAGUAACAACUUACGUGAAGACUUGAAUGGCCGACACUCAACAUAAACUAAAUUUAAAAAAAAAAAAAACGUGUGUGAUGGCGGGGACAUGGACAUGGCUGAGUGCCACCUGCGGACAGACAGGAAGCAGGUUGAACCGGCAGGCAGAAUGCCAAGAAUCUGAGAGAGAGUGAAAGAGCUGACGGAGCUUACGCAUCACACACACACACUCUCACACACACAAACGUCUGUAUCAUGAUCUCAAAAGUGUUUGUGGGGGAAGCCCGGAAAUAUUGGGACUGUGUUUUAUUUUGGUUUUAUCCAGUUGAGUUGUUGAGAGAUUGCUGUUGGAACA